GAUGAAGAACGUAGCGAAAUGCGAUAAGUAGUGUGAAUUGCAGAAUUCAGUGAAUCAUCGAAUCUUUGAACGCACAUUGCGCCCCUUGGUAUUCCAUGGGGCAUGCCUGUUCGAGCGUCAUUUGUACCUUCAAGCUUUGCUUGGUGUUGGGUGUUUGUCUCGCCUUUGCGUGUAGACUCGCCUUAAAAUAAUUGGCAGCCGGCGUAUUGAUUUCGGAGCGCAGUACAUCUCGCGCUUUGCACUCAUAACGACAGCGUCCAAAAGUACAUUUUACACUCUUGACCUCGGAUCAGGUAGGGAUACCCGCUGAACUUAAGCAUAUCAAUAAGCGGAGGA
rnacentral:misc_RNA from 1 species